rnacentral:misc_RNA from 1 species
UUUCCGUAGGUGAACCUGCGGAAGGAUCAUUAUUGUAUAACCGAGGUGCGAGGGCUGUCGCUGACCCGACAGGUCGUGCACGCCCGAGUGCCCUCACACACAUCCAUCUCACCCCUAUGUGCACCACCGCGUGGGUCCCCCUUUGGCUUGUUCGGAGGGGGGCUUACGUUUUCACACAAUCUUUGUAUGCAGUGUAGAAUGUAUUUUUUGUUUUUGCGAUCACGCAAUCAAUACAACUUUCAACAACGGAUCUCUUGGCUCUC